AUUGAACGCUGGCGGCAGGCCUAACACAUGCAAGUCGAACGGUAACAGGAAGCAGCUUGCUGCCUUGCUGACGAGUGGCGGACGGGUGAGUAAUGUCUGGGAAACUGCCCGAUGGAGGGGGAUAACUACUGGAAACGGCAGCUAAUACCGCAUAACGUCGCAAGACCAAAGAGGGGGACCUUAGGGCCUCUUGCCAUCGGAUGUGCCCAGAUGGGAUUAGCUAGUAGGUGGGGUAACGGCUCACCUAGGCGACGAUCCCUAGCUGGUCUGAGAGGAUGACCAGCCACACUGGAACUGAGACACGGUCCAGACUCCUACGGGAGGCAGCAGUGGGGAAUAUUGCACAAUGGGCGCAAGCCUGAUGCAGCCAUGCCGCGUGUAUGAAGAAGGCCUUCGGGUUGUAAAGUACUUUCAGCGGGGAGGAAGGGAGUAAAGUUAAUACCUUUGCUCAUUGACGUUACCCGCAGAAGAAGCACCGGCUAACUCCGUG
rnacentral:rRNA from 1 species